rnacentral:rRNA from 1 species
GAUGAACGCUGGCGGCGUGCUUAACACAUGCAAGUCGAACGAUGAAGCCCAGCUUGCUGGGUGGAUUAGUGGCGAACGGGUGAGUAACACGUGAGUAACCUGCCCUUAACUCUGGGAUAAGCCUGGGAAACUGGGUCUAAUACCGGAUAGGAGCGUCCACCGCAUGGUGGGUGUUGGAAAGAUUUAUCGGUUUUGGAUGGACUCGCGGCCUAUCAGCUUGUUGGUGAGGUAAUGGCUCACCAAGGCGACGACGGGUAGCCGGCCUGAGAGGGUGACCGGCCACACUGGGACGGAGACACGGCCCAGACUCCUACGGGAGGCAGCAGUGGGGAAUAUUGCACAAUGGGCGCAAGCCUGAUGCAGCGACGCCGCGUGAGGGAUGACGGCCUUCGGGUUGUAAACCUCUUUCAGUAGGGAAGAAGCGAAAGUGACGGUAACUGCAGAAGAAGCACCGGCUAACUACGUG